CGACAAGAACGCAUCAGACGACCCGAGGAGUAAACACAAGUUUAAGGUCCACACCUACUCCAGCCCUACGUUCUGUGACCACUGUGGAUCCCUACUCUACGGGUUGAUACACCAGGGCAUGAGAUGUGACCAUUGUAUGAUGAACAUCCAUAA